GAUUGAACGCUGGCGGCAUGCCUUACACAUGCCAAGUCGAACGGCAGCACGGGGGCAACCCUGGUGGCGAGUGGCGAACGGGUGAGGUAAUGCAUCGGAACGUGUCCUCUUGUGGGGGAUAACCAGUCGAAAGAUUGGCUAAUACCGCAUGAGAUCGAGAGAUGAAAGCGGGGGACCCGAGGGUAACUUCGGGCCUCGCGCGAGAGGAGCGGCCGAUGCCGGAUAGCUA
rnacentral:rRNA from 1 species